rnacentral:lncRNA from 1 species
GUCAAAUCUUUCACAGCCUUGUAACAAUUUUGCUUAAUUUAAUUUCCUUUUGUUUAAUAUAAUUUCCCUUCUUUUAAUCUAAUUUCCUAUGUUGUGUUUUAAUAGAAGAUGAAAAGUAAAAAAAAAAAAAACACAAUGUCAAGAACAAGGACAAAAGAGAGAAAUACCCACACAUAUAUCCAGGCUCUUCUGAUUAAAUACUGGGCUUUGUUGUCUACGCUAUGCGCUGCAGAAGAGCUUGUUGGGAAACCUGUAAUAGAAUAA